UACGUAGGGUCCGAGCGUUGUCCGGAAUUAUUGGGCGUAAAGAGCUCGUAGGCGGUUUGACGCGUCUGCUGUGAAAUCCCGAGGCUCAACCUCGGGUCUGCAGUGGGUACGGGCAGACUGGAGUGCGGUAGGGGAGAAUGGAAUUCCUGGUGUAGCGGUGGAAUGCGCAGAUAUCAGGAGGAACACCGAUGGCGAAGGCAGUUCUCUGGGCCGUAACUGACGCUGAGGAGCGAAAGCGUGGGGAGCGAACAGG
rnacentral:rRNA from 1 species